UUGAGAGGAUGUGAGAAAUCAAAUCAGGGCCCGCCGAUCCGCGACAACAGUCCCACCGACUGUAUACCAAAUCGACGGUCGGCCCAACCCAACCAGAUGAUGUACCCCACAGGCCCACAGCAUCACGGCCCAAGAAAAUGCUAUACCCCUCGCUGCAGAAACCACCACUCACCACUCACCACACGAAGCGGCGACGGCGCCACCGCGCCGGCGGAAGGGAAAACGACGUCUCGGCGAGCGGUCAGCCCAAGCGCGAGGGGCCAGCGGCGAGGCUGUUCAGGCAUGGGAGCCGCGAAGGUCAGGCCACCGCGCCGCAAGCCCGCAAGCCGCGAGGGUCCAAGUCGAAGCAACCUCGACAGUCUCAAGUCUCGACAGAGACUAGGUUUGCCUCGAAUCGAUGUGUGCAGUAUGCGUCGAUUCAAUCCGAAGCAGAGAGCGAUUCAACAAGUGAUGGAAUGGAUUGAUUCAACUUGAGCUUCUUAAGUCAGUUAGUCACUUAGCCCUAAACCCAGCGAUUUUUUGUGAAUUGUUUCUUUGGCUGGCGUAAUUUCAGUACUUUAAUACUUGAUUCAGAAAAUGAAAUGACUAUAAACCUCGAGCUGUGGUGCGGCUUCUGAAAUGCACAGCUAACAUAGUGAAUCUGCAGCACGGCUGUUGGCACACGUGGUUUUUCUUAGACCCAUGAUGCUCAAUUAGUGAAAUGCAUUAUAUGCGCUCAGUUCAAGUUCAUACCAAUUUCGUUAGGUUCCGCACAUAGUAAAUGCACCAGAUAAUUUGCAUUUUACAUGAACUCUUUUGUGUCCUGCUCUGCAUAAGUGUAAUUCUGUCUAGCUAUAACUUUGCAAAAUCGAAUAUGUUUGCAGUCAACAGUUGUCGCUAGUAUAGGUCGUGCCUCCAUACGGACAGUGUUAAAAGUUUGCUCCAGCCUCCAGCUCAUACACAUACUGUGGCUCUGUGCUGCAUGCGUCAUGUUUGUAAUUUCACUUUAAGGUCCCGUAGUAUGCAUCAUUAAGAGGUAGAACCAAUCUCAGCAUUAUUUGGAAUACCAACUAAGGACUAUUGCAGUUUGCCACCUUACAAGUAGUACCGAGUCACUGAUAUCUGAGAAAAAAAGAUGGGUAAUUGGGUGGUGAAAGAAAAAGCUUAAUUUCCAUGUGUUUGGAGGAUCUUAUUUAUGAAUAAUUUGUUUUUUUAACAGUUUAAAGUUGCAGCAUUUCUUGAAAACAACGUAUGCUUUAUUCAUGUUAAUAUGGCCAGGCAUCGUAUGGGGAUUGCAACAACCAAACUGCCAGAGUUGUCUGCAGAACAUCCUGAUGGAUAUAUUUGUUCUUCUGGAUAUCCCAUACCUCAUGCACAUAGGCUCUUUCUGCAACUCCUGGAACUCCGCAUAUCCCAGCCUACGUAGCAUUGGGCAAUAGAAGCAGCCCCGAACACCAUGUUGUUGGAGCAUACAAGUUAACUUUGUUAGAACCACCCAUCUGCAGAAGGUAUCUGAUUGGGUCCUGUUAACACCAAAACUUGGUGCAAUAACCAGCAAGUUUUGGUGGUUUCUGUUGAUGAGCAGUCUGGAAUGCACCCUGUAAUCCGAUCACAAGUGAGCAGAUAACUCUCCCAUUGGAGAUUGCCAUGGAGCAGGCCGGCGAGGUCCAUCUUUUGAUGGUGCAGGUGAAAAUUAUAAGUAUCAUUGCUCAGUUCACAUCAGAUGGUCAGUUGCUGAACGGCUGCUUAAACCUUGCUCUUGGCAAGCUGUGCUUUCAUUUGCUAGGUUAGGGGAUGAGAACUGGAGCCGGUUGCCAUCUCAAGCACAUUUUCAGGACUGCAGCUACAAGGAUGGUCUAUUAUACGGUGAAAUUAUCGCCAUCAAUCUCAGCAGCACUAUGGUCACGACUCGUGACAAAGGUAAUUGUGGAUAGGGUACAGUAUUGAUAUGGGAGCGACAAGGUUUACAUUGUUCAUGCUCCAUAGGGUGAUCUGCUUCAAGUGUGGGUAAAAGAAGAGCCAGCAGGACAUGGGCUCCAAUCAUCUUUGGACCAAGCUUGGGUGGAUGAGAAUAGAGAAAAUUCUCUCUAUAGCCCUAGAAAUAAUGACAGUUCCCUCUGUGGCCCUGAAAAUUUGAAACUCCCCUAUUUGGCCCUCCUUUUAACUUUGGUUUCUUAUUUGGCCUUUCUGUCAACUCUGUCAGUUAUCUCGCGUGAACAGUAUCCAUCUUUUCUUCACUAAAACGACUUCCAAAUCACUCCAAAAUUCAUAAGAUGAACCCAUUUUGCAAAAAACCACAUAUGUAGCAUUAAAAUUAAAAUUCAUCAAAUUAGGCUACUUUUUAAGACUAUCUAAUUUUUUAAAGCAUAAAACUACUAUUAAAAAUUGAAUAAAAAUGCCUAAUAUUUCUAAGAUGAGAUGAAUUAAUUUAUAAAAUUAUUUUGUAUCAUAUGUUACUUAGAAUAUUUUGAAGUUCUUUAAAAAAAAAUUUAAACUUCCUUUCAAAAACAAAUUUUUGAGAUAACUUCAAAAUUAUCUAGGCAACAUAUAUUAUAAAAUUAUUUUAUAAAUUAGUAUAUCCCAUCUUACAAAUAUUAGUUAUUUUUACUCAAUUUUUGGACUCUAUUUUUAUGCCUUGAAAACCAGAUACUCUUAAAAAGUAGCCUAAUUUGGUGAAUUUUAAUUUUAAGAUCCUAAAUGUUACACAUGUGGAUUUUUUGCAAAAUGGGUUCAUUUCCGUUAGUUGUAUCUCUGCAAAAAGUUUUAUAAAUUUUGAAGGUGAUUUGGAGGUUGUUUUAGUGAAUAAAAGAGGGAUAAAAAACCACAAGUCACUGUUAUCAUGAGAUAACUGAUAGAGUUGAUGGAAGGGCCAAAUAAGGAACCCAAGUUAAAAAAAAGGGCCAAAUAGGGGAGUUUCAAAUUUCCAGGACCAUAGAGGGAACUGUCAUUAUUUCUAGGAAAUUCUCUCAUGAGAAUAUGUAAAGUUUGCACCAUGACCCAAAAGGCUAGUGAAGAUAAAUAGCCUGGAUGACCAUAUGUUGUUUCUAGGGAGUAACUAAGCACUUUGUUCCUGUGCUGGGACUAAUGCCACAUUAACAUUGGAGUCCUACGGGAACAAGAGAGCGACCUUGGUCUGUUGCUGAUCUUUCCGAAUCCCAGAAAAAUGGUUUCGGUGCUGAACAGCUAGGUAUACUUGGUAUUCAAGUAUUUGUGAGCAAGAUAAUUAUUUUGUAAUGCAAUUGUGGCAGGUCCGGAACCAUGUAUCAUGUGAUUGAUCAUUUGCAUGCAGAACUGGAAGCAUGCCUACGUGACGUGAAAAUGGCAGUAGCCCAUGCUAUGUGAAACAUUCAGCUGGAGACAGAUUGGACCCCGGUAUUCCUUGAUUCCAAAAAUUGAAGCAGAACAAUCUGACUAUGAUCUGGCGGACUAUUGUGUGUGGGAACUACGGGAGCUUUCGUUCAUGGACUUGUUUAGUUUUUUCGGAUGGAUAAGUCCUUGCUGCUGGUCUUUGUGGUCCUUAGUAGCAGUUAGCAUCUUGUAGUCCUUAGCAUCUUGAACUGUAGGCAUCUUGGACUGAAGGACAGCAGUUAGUGUCCUCUCUAGGACAGCAGUUAGUGUCCUCUCUAGGACAGCAGUUAGACUAGCAUUAUUGGCUUUGUUGCUGCCCAGCAGCCUGCUGUAUAUAUAUGUGGCCACCCCUCCCGUUGGAAGGUAUGGCAUUGUGAGUGUGAAUGAAGAAAAAUCCAGAAAACUUCCCCAA